rnacentral:rRNA from 1 species
GAUGAACGCUGGCGGCGUGCCUAAUACAUGCAAGUCGAGCGAACAGAUGAGGAGCUUGCUCCUCUGACGUUAGCGGCGGACGGGUGAGUAACACGUGGAUAACCUACCUAUAAGACUGGGAUAACUUCGGGAAACCGGAGCUAAUACCGGAUAAUAUAUUGAACCGCAUGGUUCAAUAGUGAAAGACGGUUUUGCUGUCACUUAUAGAUGGAUCCGCGCUGCAUUAGCUAGUUGGUAAGGUAACGGCUUACCAAGGCAACGAUGCGUAGCCGACCUGAGAGGGUGAUCGGACACACUGGAACUGAGACACGGUCCAGACUCCUACGGGAGGCAGCAGUAGGGAAUCUUCCGCAAUGGGCGAAAGCCUGACGGAGCAACGCCGCGUGAGUGAUGAAGGUCUUCGGAUCGUAAAACUCUGUUAUUAGGGAAGAACAAAUGUGUAAGUAACUAUGCACAUCUUGACGGUACCUAAUCAGAAAGCCACGGCUAACUACGUG